GCGGCGGCGACAGCGGCGGCAGCCGAGGGGUAUGCCGGGAGGAAGCAAUCCCGUUUUGUCUCGCGAGAUCUCCUCGGGUCGGAUUCUUCUGCGUGGAGUCGUUCCCGGUGGUUCGUGAAGAGAAGCCUGCUUGCCUCGGGUUCCUGAUUCGGCGGCGGGGAGCUCAAGCGCAUUGUUAGCUCCGGGCCCCGGAAAUGCGUUACGGGGCCACUGACGUGUCAAGCACUGAAGGACAUUUCAGGCAAAGAGAGGGAAGUUUAUCAAGAUUAUUUAACAAAAACUCAACUGUUUAUAAUAGGAAAUGCAAGAAAAUGUGAAGAAAUGAAAACUUUUUAGCUACUGUUAUUAAACUCACCUUCCACAAUUCUCCUUCCCCAGAAACGUCUUGAAAUGUGAAAGCUAUGGUUCAAGAUUUGUUGAAGAGUCUACCGGUGUUGAGACAAUCUCUCUUGAACAGUCAGCACCCUGUUCCCCAUGGACAGCAGCCACUUCAGCUACUGAAAGUUAUACCUCGUGCUGUCUCUGGGAAUGUUCCCUUUGCUGUCCCUCACAAGAUUAUGG
rnacentral:lncRNA from 1 species